UACGUAGGGUGCGAGCGUUGUCCGGAAUUAUUGGGCGUAAAGAGCUUGUAGGCGGUUUGUCGCGUCUGCCGUGAAAUCCCGGGGCUCAACCCCGGGCGUGCAGUGGAUACGGGCUGGCUAGAGGCAGGCAGGGGAGAACGGAAUUCCCGGUGUAGCGGUGAAAUGCGCAGAUAUCGGGAGGAACACCGGUGGCGAAGGCGGUUCUCUGGGCCUGUACUGACGCUGAGGAGCGAAAGCGUGGGGAGCGAACAGG
rnacentral:rRNA from 1 species